ensembl:lncRNA
GUGUGUGUGUGCGUGUGCGUGUAUGUGCGUGUGUGCGUGUGUGUACAUGUGCGUGUGUGUGUGCGUGUGUGUACAUGUGUGUGCGUGUCCAGCUGGUUCAUUCAAAAACAGUCAUAUAAACAUUUUCAGAAUUCAGAGUUUUGACACUAGAAGACUUUUAUUCAGAGGACAUUAGCGCUCGAUCCCUUUUGAUUAAUUCAUGAUCAUUUUUCUCAUAUUUAUUUGGUUGACACCGGUUAGCGUAGCGUAGCAUAAAGACGAAGCAGAGGGACGUGGACUUCAUUAUCACCACAUGAGGAGCAGAGGUUCGAUUACAGGAGAGAUUUUAAUUACAGAUGAGAGUGUUUGAAGUGUUAACAGAAUGAGUGCUCACCGCUCUCUCUCUCUCCCUAUUCACUGAGGGGCUCGCUCGCCCUCGUCCUGUGCAGCCGUAUUACCACAUCUGAGAGGACAGACACACGCUCCAUAACCACGAGUGUUUGAAGUGUGUUCACAGCUCUUAGUUACCGAAUACAUCACCCUGUUUCAGUCUUUGCUUUCUGUGGGUCUGAUUGGAUCCCCGUGUGGCGCCUGUGGACCAAUCACAGCGGAGGAAACUGACACUGAACCAAGUGUCAGCAAACAAUAAAUAAGAAACAGUACAAGUUGAAAAGGAAUCAUAACAUGUAACCCUCAGACCAGCCGGUCUCAUUGUCUCGUUGUCCUCGUGGACCAGACCAGCCGGUCUCAUGGUCUCGUUGUCCUCGUGGACCAGACCAGCCGGUCUCAUGGUCUCGUUGUCCUCGUGGACCAGACCAGCAGGUCUUGCUGGUCCUUGUAGUCUUGUUGUGCCGUGGCCCAGAAAGAACAGAAGGUCUCAUUUAGCCUCGCUGUCCCCAUGAGGUCCCGGUUAGUCCAUUCAUGAAGGGUCUCUACAUUGUGGUUCAAGAAGUCUGCUCUGACGGUCAAGAUUCUCAAAGCUGAAGUACAAGAGGACACGGACGGACGUAUGGACAGACGAGAGGCUGCUGCCAUCCAAUGGGCUGUCAGUGCUGCUGCAGGAGGGCGGUCUGCUCCUCCAGCAGCCAAUGAGCUGCGAUCCUGCUGGCGUAGAUCACGUAGGACCAUGACAAGACCACCACAGCCAGCAGCACCUGAGGGACGAUAUUAUACCCUGUUAACGGUAAUACUACAUGGUCAAAAUACUCUGUUACAAGAGUCCUGUAAUCAACAUUACCAAAUUAAAUAUCUUGAGUGUAUCAAAAUAUAUACACGGUAUCAGUAAAAGGUUUGGACACACAUACAUAGGUAGCAUAGAUAGCAUAUACUAGCUGCCCCCUAGCUGCUCACUAGCAGCUCCCUAGCUGCUCACUAGAUGCUCACUAGCUGCUCACUAGCUGCUCCCUAGCUGCUCCCUAGCUGCUCCCUAGAUGCUCACUAGAUGCUCACUAGCUGCUCACUAGAUGCUCACUAGCUGCUCACUAGAUGCUCACUAGAUGCUCACUAGAUGCUCACUAGCUGCUCCCUA